GCCCCUGUGGCGGAAUUGGUAGACGCGCGGGAUUCAAAAUCCCGUUCCCUUACGGGAGUGUCGGUUCGAUUCCGACCGGGGGCACCA
rnacentral:tRNA from 1 species